rnacentral:rRNA from 1 species
AGUGCAUCUGGUGGAUGCCUUGGCGAUCACAGGCGAUGAAGGACGUGUAAGCCUGCGAAAAGCUUCGGGGAGCUGGCAAUAGAGCGAUGAUCCGGAGAUGUCCGAAUGGGGAAACCCACCUAGCAAUAGGUACUCUCUGCUGAACACAUAGGCAGAGUAGAGCGAACGCGGAGAACUGAAACAUCUAAGUACCCGCAGGAACAGAAAUCAACCGAGAUUCCGUCAGUAGUGGCGAGCGAACGCGGAACAGCUUGUACGUGUUAUGGAUUGUGUUAGUGGAAGGCUCUGGAAAUGGCCGCCAUAGUGGGUGAUAGCCCCGUACACGAAAACGCAUUCCAAGGACUAGGCGUACGACAAGUAGGGCGGGACACGCGAAAUCCUGUCUGAAGAUGGGGGGACCAUCCUCCAAGGCUAAAUACUCGUGAUCGACCGAUAGUGAACCAGUACCGUGAGGGAAAGGCGAAAAGAACCCCGGGAGGGGAGUGAAAUAGAACCUGAAACCGGAUGCAUACAAACAGUGGGAGCCCUGUAAGGGGUGACUGCGUACCUUUUGUAUAAUGGGUCAGCGACUUACGUUCAGUAGCGAGCUUAACCGAAUAGGGGAGGCGUAGGGAAACCGAGUCCGAACAGGGCGAUUGAGUUGCUGGGCGUAGACCCGAAACCGAGUGAUCUAUCCAUGGCCAGGAUGAAGGUGCGGUAACACGCACUGGAGGUCCGAACCCACUAGUGUUGCAAAACUAGGGGAUGAGCUGUGGAUAGGGGUGAAAGGCUAAACAAACUCGGAGAUAGCUGGUUCUCCCCGAAAACUAUUUAGGUAGUGCCUCAUGUAUCACUUCCGGGGGUAAAGCACUGUUAUGGCUAGGGGGUCAUUGCGAUUUACCAAACCAUGGCAAACUCAGAAUACCGGAAAGUGCGAGCAUGGGAGACAGACGGUGGGUGCUAACGUCCAUCGUCAAGAGGGAAACAACCCAGACCGCCGGCUAAGGUCCCAAAUGAUCAGUUAAGUGGUAAACGAAGUGGGAAGGCCCAGACAGCCAGGAUGUUGGCUUAGAAGCAGCCAUCAUUUAAAGAAAGCGUAAUAGCUCACUGGUCGAGUCGUCCUGCGCGGAAGAUGUAACGGGGCUCAAACUGAUAACCGAAGCCGCGGAUUUGCACUUAGGUGCAGAUGGUAGGGGAGCGUUCUGUAGGUCUGUGAAGGUGUGUCGUAAGGCAUGCUGGAGAUAUCAGAAGUGCGAAUGCUGACAUGAGUAGCGAUAAAGCGGGUGAAAAGCCCGCUCGCCGAAAGCCCAAGGUUUCCUACGCAACGUUCAUCGGCGUAGGGUGAGUCGGCCCCUAAGGCGAGGCUGAAAAGCGUAGUCGAUGGGAAACGGGUCAAUAUUCCCGUACUCUCGUAUAGUGCGAUGUGGGGACGGAGAAGGUUAGGUCAGCCAGGUGUUGGACGUCCUGGUUUAAGCCGGUAGGUGGGAGCGGUAGGCAAAUCCGCCGCUCUAUUAACACCGAGACGUGAUGACGAGGCUCUACGGAGCCGAAGUGACUGAUACCACGCUUCCAGGAAAAGCCACUAAGCUUCAGCUAUACGAGAACCGUACCGCAAACCGACACAGGUGGGCAGGAUGAAAAUUCUAAGGCGCUUGAGAGAACUCAGGAGAAGGAACUCGGCAAAUUGAUACCGUAACUUCGGGAGAAGGUAUGCCUCUUAGGGUGUAGGACCUCGCGUUCGAAGCCUCGAGAGGUCGCAGAGAAUCGGUGGCUGCGACUGUUUAUCAAAAACACAGCACUGUGCCAACACGAAAGUGGACGUAUACGGUGUGACGCCUGCCCGGUGCCGGAAGGUUAAGUGAUGGGGUGCAAGCUCUUGAUCGAAGCCCCGGUAAACGGCGGCCGUAACUAUAACGGUCCUAAGGUAGCGAAAUUCCUUGUCGGGUAAGUUCCGACCCGCACGAAUGGCGUAACGAUGGCCACACUGUCUCCUCCUGAGACUCAGCGAAGUUGAAAUGUUUGUGAAGAUGCAAUCUCCCCGCUGCUAGACGGAAAGACCCCGUGAACCUUUACUGUAGCUUUGCAUUGGACUUUGAACAGACUUGUGUAGGAUAGGUGGGAGGCUAUGAAACCAGGACGCCAGUUCUGGUGGAGCCGCCCUUGAAAUACCACCCUGGUGUGUUUGAGGUUCUAACCUUGGUCCGUGAUCCGGAUCGGGGACAGUGCAUGGUAGGCAGUUUGACUGGGGCGGUCUCCUCCCAAAGUGUAACGGAGGAGUUCGAAGGUCACCUAGGUACGGUCGGAAAUCGUGCUGAUAGUGCAAUGGCAAAAGGUGGCUUAACUGCGAGACCGACAAGUCGAGCAGGUGCGAAAGCAGGACAUAGUGAUCCGGUGGUUCUGAAUGGAAGGGCCAUCGCUCAACGGAUAAAAGGUACUCCGGGGAUAACAGGCUGAUUCCGCCCAAGAGUUCACAUCGACGGCGGAGUUUGGCACCUCGAUGUCGGCUCAUCACAUCCUGGGGCUGUAGCCGGUCCCAAGGGUAUGGCUGUUCGCCAUUUAAAGUGGUACGUGAGCUGGGUUCAAAACGUCGUGAGACAGUUUGGUCCCUAUCUGCAGUGGGCGUUGGAAGUUUGACGGGGGCUGCUCCUAGUACGAGAGGACCGGAGUGGACGCACCUCUGGUGUACCGGUUGUCACGCCAGUGGCAUUGCCGGGUAGCUAAGUGCGGAAGAGAUAACCGCUGAAAGCAUCUAAGCGGGAAACUCGCCUGAAGAUGAGACUUCCCUGAGGACUUGAUCCUCCUGAAGAGUCGUUCGAGACCAGGACGUUGAUAGGUCGGGUGUGGAAGCGCUGUGAGGCGUGAAGCUAACCGAUACUAAUUGCUCGUGAGGCUUGAUC